rnacentral:rRNA from 1 species
AACGAACGCUGGCGGCAUGCCUAACACAUGCAAGUCGAACGAGACCUUCGGGUCUAGUGGCGCCCGGGUGCGUAACGCGUGGGAACCUGCCCUUAGGUUCGGAAUAACUCCCCGAAAGGGGUGCUAAUACCGGAUCAUGUCUACGGACCAAAGAUUUAUCGCAUUUGGAUGGUCCCGCGUUGGAUUAGCUAGUUGGUAAGGUAAAAGCCUACCAAGGCGACGAUGCGUAGCCGGUCUGAGAGGGUGAUCGGCCACACUGGGACUGAGACCCGGCCCAGACGCCUACGGGAGGCAGCAGUAGGGAAUCUGACGCAAUGGGCGAAAGCGUGACGGAGCAACGCCGCGUGAGGGAUGAAGGUCUUCGGAUCGUAAAACUCUGUUAUUAGGGAAGAACAAAUGUGUAAGUAACUAUGCACGUCUUGACGGUACCUAAUCAGAAAGCCACGGCUAACUACGUG